UUUAGACAAAACAGAUACAAACUGGUUAAUUGAUUUAUCUUGUUUAUUAAGUCAUAUUGAACAGAUACUAAAUGUAAUUUCAAUAAAGUUCAAGUCAUGAUACAUGUCGUAACAUGACAGAAGUGCUGCAUUAUGUAUCAAUAUUUGACAGGUGUAUUUUACGGAGCCAAGUUGCUGAUGUGUCAAUAGUGUUUAACAUCAUUGCAAGACAUAGUGAUGAAGAACCUGUGUUACUGUGAUACAAUGUGUAUAUAAUGUUGUAAAUAUUAGGGAAUUCCCUCAAUUUGUAAAUGUACAUAUAUCUGACAGUGCCCUGAUAGUGGGGGAAAUAAAUGUCUUGGACUAUUUCCUUGUUGUUUGCUGUUCAACAAUGUGUAUAUAAUGUUGUAAAUAUUAGUGUAUUCCCUCAAUUUGUAAAUGUGCAUAUAUCUGACAGUGCCCUGAUAGUGGGGGAAAUAAAUGUCUUGGACUA